rnacentral:rRNA from 1 species
UACAGAGGUCUCAAGCGUUGUUCGGAUUCAUUGGGCGUAAAGGGCGCGUAGGCUGCGGGGCAAGUCGGGUGUGAAAUCUCAGAGCUCAACUCUGAAACUGCACUCGAUACUGCUUUGCUUGAGGACUGGAGAGGAGAUUGGAAUUCACGGUGUAGCAGUGAAAUGCGUAGAUAUCGUGAGGAGGACCAGUGGCGAAGGCGGAUCUCUGGACAGUUCCUGACGCUGAGGCGCGAAGGCCAGGGGAGCAAACGGG